UGUCCCUUCUGGGAAGAGGAAGAAAUCCCCAAGGGAGCAAUGCCAGCUUUCCCACAGCCACUCGGAGCAGACAUCCCCGCCUGCUCUGCAGCCCCUCAACUCACCGUUGCUGAUCCACGUCAGGAUAUCAUCGAUCUCCGCGCUGUCGACCGGGUUGUCUGCGUUGGAUGUCAUGUCUGGAGAAGGCAAGAAAAUCCCCACGGGGGCAAUGCCAGCUUUCCCACACCCACUACUCCGGACACCCAACCCACCACCCCUGCAGACCAAAAACUCACCACUGAUCCACAUGAGCAGAUCGUCGAUGUCGCUGUCGACCGCGUCCUCUGGGAUGCCUGCGCUCGCUGUGGCUGCUGGAAAAGCAAGGACAUCCCCAGUGGGGCAAUGCCAGCUUUCCCACAGCCACCCGGUGCGGACAGCCUGCCGCACGCCCCGCAGCCCCCAAACUCACCCCCUGAGUCCAGCGCUGCGGUGCUGCAGCCCAGCGGAGCCGUGGCGGGAUGGGG
rnacentral:lncRNA from 1 species